rnacentral:tRNA from 1 species
GCCGAAGUGAUGGAAUUGGCAGACGUGACGGACUCAAAAUCCGUUGUGAGAAAUCACGUGCGGGUUCAAGUCCCGCCUUCGGCA